GAGGGUGAUCGGCCACAUUGGAACUGAGACACGGUCCAAACUCCUACGGGAGGCAGCAGUGGGGAAUAUUGCACAAUGGGCGAAAGCCUGAUGCAGCAACGCCGCGUGAGUGAUGGAGGCCUUCGGGUCGUAAAACUCUGUCCUCAAGGAAGAUAAUGACGGUACUUGAGGAGGAAGCCCCGGCUAACUACGUGCCAGCAGCCGCGGUAAUACGUAGGGGGCUAGCGUUAUCCGGAUUUACUG
rnacentral:rRNA from 1 species